AGCGGGGUAGAGCAGCCUGGAGUGCUCGUCGGGCUCAUAACCCGAAGGUCGGAAGUUCAAAUCUUUCCCCCGCUA
rnacentral:tRNA from 1 species